rnacentral:lncRNA from 1 species
AAACUCCAUUCACCAUCGCCAGCCACGGGAGGACCGGGAGGAACUCCAGAGGAGGUUAGGUCGACUUCAUGGUAACUUUAGAUCCUGAAACCUCCCAGGAUUUUUCUUGUCUUCCCUUUGCUCUCUCUUCUGUCUACCCAACAGGACAGGACUCGCCGCCUUUCUUUCCCGGCAGAAAGGGGUCCGUUGUGGACAGGACCAAAGUGAGCAGCCGGUUUCCCCUACGUGUUCUUCCUGGCCUGGGCGUCUCGGGAGCUCAGGCUGACCCGAGACCUAACUCCCGGCGACUGGGACCAGCAGGAACCUGGAGGAGCGCGCGCACCGGGGUGGAGGUUGGGCGCCGGGGGACGAGAACCGCAGUCAAACCCUCUUCUUCCCGGGGCACUGCGCACCUGACCCCGGGGAUGCAGAAGGAAGUGGCCCAUAAAGCUUCUCUGCAACCGAAAGAGGCCUGAAGCUCCAGGAGGGCCGAGAGGAGCCUCGUUGAGCGAACCCAGCCUCUGCCUGGCUGGCCCUGGUCAACAGGCUCGGAAGAGUCCGAUUUGAAGGACAGAGCGGGAGAAAAGACCUAAAGGUUUCCAAUCUCAUGAUGUGGAGAUGUUAAAAGCCUCCAAUCCUAAGGUCCGACUGUGCGGAGGAGCGAGGGUGUCUCAAGCUGUAUCGACCCCCGAGCCUUCAUCUGGAGAGUCCUCUCCACAAGCUCAGAGAGCAGGACAACGCGCAUCAGUGGUUCUCAAAAGGGGGCAACUUCGCCCUUACACUCCUCUCCCAUCCUUGCUGGGACACUAGGUCACGACUAGGGGAAGCGGGGAGAGAGAAUGUUAACCCCCUGGCAUCUAUCUAGUCAGCGGAGGCGACGGAUGCUGCUAAACACCUUACAGUCCACCGGAGGGCCCCUCCCCUACCCCGAAGUAGCCAUUCCGCAGAGGUGGAGAGACUCGCGUGAAGCUCAAUGCCCACGCACUUAGCCGACGGGAAAUCACGAAUUGAUGACCAGUCGGCUCUUGGAUCGGAGGAAAAAACUCCAGCGUCAGAGGGAACUCUGGAAGUUUUGCCCGGAGCAAACGGAAGGGUGGUGUUGCCAUCGCCUAAGAUGGGAAAAUGGCAGGUGUCACAGGUAGCAGGGGAAGGUCGGAGACCAGCUGAGGGCCCCGGAGCCUUCCUGGAAAGAGUUUCCCAUCCAGCCCGUCUCGGUUCCGCAUCCGUCUGAUUCCUUAUGAUGUUGAGGGUGCUGGCGUCUGGGUCCUUUAUGAUGCAGCGGGUGCCCCCGUCUCACCCCGGGCGCCUCCCGUCUCCCGCCUCCUCCUGGCAACCUGGUGCGCGGCUCCGGACCUGGCGACCCACGACCGGCUGGUCACUUGCUGCCGCCUCGCAAAGGCGCAUCUCUAGUUCAGUGGUGAGCUGCGGCCGGGUCGCUGCAACUCGCUCCAGGACUCGGGAUUCGGUGUCCCUCACGGAGCCCUCGGUGUGUCGCCUGCAGGCUCUUUUUUUGAAGAAAGCAGGGAGGGAAUGGCCUUGUGAGAGACUCCAGGAGCAAAGAGCGACCCUCAAAAGGCCCAAGUCCUUCCAGAGCUCAGGGAAAGUGUCGCUUCUGGCCGAAGAAAGGAGAGAAAGCUCCCUCCCGUGUGUCCCUGGUGGUCUAGUGGCUAGGAUUCGGCGCUUUCACCGCCGCGGCCCGGGUUCGAUUCCCGGUCAGGGAAUUGUUUUGCACUGGCCGCCCUCCCGCAGGAAUCUUCCUUCACUAGGCUGUCAGCCGGCCUGCUCCAAGGGCCAGAGGCAGAACAGUCUCCGCAGCGAGGGGCAAAGCCGGGCGAAGGAGGGCAAGUCCUGGUGGACCACCUCUCACGACACACCGCUCCUGUUUAUCUCCGUGUCCCUCAUCCGCGGAAGCGGCUUUAGAGAGCGACUGAGCGUCUCGCUCAGGUGUACACAGCCGUGCAGACAUGCCAGCCCCCGUGGAGCUGCACCCAAUGAGCUCACCCUCUUUCCGUCGCCACUUCGGAGGCGCCUAUCGGGCUGAGCUGCGAAUAACUAAGAGAGAGGCCAAGCCAAGUCAUGGCGUUUGUGCCAGCCCCGGACACGGGCACCGGCCAGUCAGCGGAGCCUCCUCACCUCCGUUGGCAGCUAACGCGCUCGUUAGGCCUUCGGAAGAGGGGGAGACCGUGGUCACGAAGGGGGUUCUCCCAGAGUGAAGCUUCUUCAUCGCACUCUAGAGUUGCUGAUCCCUGUGAUUUCCUCAGUGUGGGAAACGGUGUUUGUGCUAGAGAGGCUGUGCUCUUUACCUGACAUAAGGGGGUUCAAGACUGACAUCCCUCACGCCCACCCGAAAACGUUUACAUGGCUUCCUUGUCUCUUUUUUUUUCUGUCCUAAAGUCGCCUCAUCUUCACAUCCCCUCAUUUUUUCUUCCACACUCGAGAGUGUCUCUCUCUCUCAUUAAAAGCUCCAUCAAAUAUUUGAAAUAUCUCAACCAGAAAGACUGCAAUAAAUACAUUAUUUCAUUCGUGG